CACACACCCUGUCCACAGGUAGAAACGCACACACCUGGUCCACAGGUAGAAACGCACACACCUGGUCCACAGGUAGAAACACACACACCUGGUCCACAGGUAGAAACGCACACACCUGGUC